GGAACAAAAUGUCAAAUGUUUGGAAUAUAAUCAAAUGUUUUUUUCUCUGUGGUUGGAGAAAGAAUAACAGAAUGAGACCAGCGAAUGAAAUUGAAAUGUAUGACAGACAACAAGCAGCAAAUGAUGAAGAGCAAUCACCACCACCACCACCACCACCACCACCACCACCCUCACCACCGCCCUCACCACCACCACCACCUGCCAAUGGCAUCAUAAACCCAGUGGCUUUAUAAACACAUGGUUAGAGAGUUGAUGAUGAAAAGUUUGAACCAAUUGUAAUAGUGUAUCCAUGCAUCAUAGAGAACAAGCUAGGAUAUAUAGUAAUAUGAUUUAAUUAGUACUGAAUGAACAUACUUAAUAAUGCAAUGAAUACACUUGAGCGUUUUGACACAAAAACAUGGUUAACCAAUGUACCCACGUGCAGGCAUGCACGUGACUCUGAAUAGAGAAAAUUACUCAAUUAAUUUAUGAGCAAAUUUACUUAAUUUUUUUGAGUGGAUUAAAUGCAUCCAUACACUGACUGGCGCUGACUCAAAAUUUUGAACGAUUCAUGAAAGUGACUCAACUAUAUUUGAGUAAAUCAACAAUUGUCAAUGCACUCAAAUUGUGAGUAUAAAAUAUUCUAAAAUUUUGGGUCAAGUAAAUAUACCCAUGCAGUGAAUCAAUUCUUUUAAUAAAAGUUUGGACGUACUUUUAUGCAGUGGAAUCAUAAUUUUUAGAGCACAUAAAUUUUGAUAAAAACAUGUAAUGAAGUAAUAGUAAGAUUUAGGGUACAAUUUUAUUAAUUAGAACAUUAAUUUUGAUGAAGUGAAGAACAGAAU